UACGAAGGGGGCUAGCGUUGUUCGGAAUUACUGGGCGUAAAGGGCGCGUAGGCGGCUUUGUCAGUCAGGCGUGAAAGCCCCGGGCUUAACCUGGGAACUGCGCUUGAUACUGCAAGGCUUGAGUACCGGAGAGGUAGGUGGAAUUCCCAGUGUAGAGGUGAAAUUCGUAGAUAUUGGGAAGAACACCGGUGGCGAAGGCGGCCUACUGGACGGUAACUGACGCUGAGGCGCGAAAGCGUGGGGAGCAAACAGG
rnacentral:rRNA from 1 species